UGGGGAAUCUUGCGCAAUGGGCGAAAGCCUGACGCAGCGACGCCGCGUGAGUGAUGAAGGCCUUCGGGUUGUAAAGCUCUGUGGAGGGGGACGAAUAAGUGUUGGCUAAUAUCCAGCAUGAUGACGGUACCCCUUUAGCAAGCACCGGCUAACUCUGUGCCAGCAGCCGCGGUAAGACAGAGGGUGCAAACGUUGUUCGGAAUGACUGGGCGUAAAGCGCGUGUAGGCGGCCUCGCAAGUCGGGUGUGAAAGCCCUGGGCUCAACCCAGGAAGUGCACUCGAAACUGCAAGGCUUGAGUCCCGGAGAGGAAAGCGGAAUUCUCGGUGUAGAGGUGAAAUUCGUAGAUAUCGAGAGGAACACCGGUGGCGAAGGCGGCUUUCUGGACGGCGACUGACGCUG
rnacentral:rRNA from 1 species